UACGUAGGGUGCAAGCGUUGUCCGGAAUUAUUGGGCGUAAAGAGCUCGUAGGCGGUCUGUCGCGUCUGCUGUGAAACUCAGGCUUAACCUGAGCUUGCAGUGGGUACGGGCAGACUAGAGUGCGGUAGGGAGAUUGGAAUUCCUGGUGUAGCGGUGGAAUGCGCAGAUAUCAGGAGGAACACCGAUGGCGAAGGCAGAUCUCUGGCCGUAAC
rnacentral:rRNA from 1 species